rfam:Deltaproteobacteria bacterium RIFOXYC2_FTLL_48_10 rifoxyc2_full_scaffold_3756, whole genome shotgun sequence.
UAAAACUAUGGCCAAACCUGUUGUGAGGCAGGGACGGAAAGCCACGGAUCUUGGAUAAGACCGCCGGGUUGCAGAC